rnacentral:rRNA from 1 species
GGGUCAGUAGGUUGGUCGUGCCACCGGUACGUACUGGUCUCACUGAUUCCUCCUUCCUGAAGAACCGUAAUGCCAUUAAUUCGGUGUUGCGGGGAAACAGGACUGUUACUUUGAAAAAAUUAGAGUGUUUAAAGCAAGCUGACGCUUGAAUACAUUAGCAUGGAAUAAUGAAAUAGGACGAUCGAUCCUAUUUUGUUGGUUUCUAGGAUUGACGUA